GCUCCCGCCCCCGCCCCUCCACCUAGCAGCUUGUUUUCCUGCUACUCGCAGCCGGAAGGGAGGGAGAGAGCGCACUGGCGUUCGGGACUGGCCUUUGCUCUAUAACUGUUCGAGGCAGUAGGAGCCCUGCGAGGUGCAGAAACAUUGUCUUUUGGCAACUGCAUCUUCAGAAUUCCUCAGGGAUAAGGUAGUAAAUGUUCCCCCGUGCAUUCAGCAAAUAGGCGGGAACUGGCAAGGGCAAGAGUUUUCUGAAAAUGGACGGUCCCUAGGGGCGGAGGCGAGGCGGGUCGAGGAGAAGAGGGGCCAGGAAUAGAGAGCUGUAUGGAUGGAGACGUCUUGAGGCUACUAUAAGAAUAAAAGUCAGAAGGCAGAAGGCCUUAAUACAAAACUUGAGAACACCAGAAAACUCCUGACUCCAGGGAACAUUAAUCAACAAAAGCUCAUCCAAAAGCCUCCAUACCUACAUUGAAACCAAGCUCCACCCAAGAGCCAACAAGUUUCAGAGCAAGAUAUACCAAGUUAAUUCUCCAACAACGCAGGAACAUAACCCUGAGCACAAAAAUACUGGCAGCCAAAAGUCACACCAAACCCAUAGACACCUUAAAACUCACUACUGGACACUUCAUUGCACUCCAGA